rnacentral:rRNA from 1 species
GAUGAACGCUGGCGGCGUGCCUAAUACAUGCAAGUCGAGCGAACAGACGAGGAGCUUGCUCCUCUGACGUUAGCGGCGGACGGGUGAGUAACACGUGGAUAACCUACCUAUAAGACUGGGAUAACUUCGGGAAACCGGAGCUAAUACCGGAUAAUAUAUUGAACCGCAUGGUUCAAUAGUGAAAGACGGUUUUGCUGUCACUUAUAGAUGGAUCCGCGCCGCAUUAGCUAGUUGGUAAGGUAACGGCUUACCAAGGCAACGAUGCGUAGCCGACCUGAGAGGGUGAUCAGCCACACUGGAACUGAGACACGGUCCAGACUCCUACGGGAGGCAGAAGUAGGGAAUCUUCCGCAAUGGGCGAAAGAUUGACGGAGAAACGCCGCGUGAGUGAUGAAGGUCGUCGGAUCGUAAAACUCUGUUAUGAGGGAAGAACAAAUGUGUAAGUAACUAUGCACGUCUUGACGGUACCUAAUCAGAACGCCACGGCUAACUACGUG